rnacentral:rRNA from 1 species
GGGUAGAGCACUGUUUCGGCUAGGGGGCCAUCCCGGCUUACCAACCCGAUGCAAACUGCGAAUACCGGAGAAUGUUAUCACGGGAGACACACGGCGGGUGCUAACGUCCGUCGUGAAGAGGGAAACAACCCAGACCGCCAGCUAAGGUCCCAAAGUCAUGGUUAAGUGGGAAACGAUGUGGGAAGGCCCAGACAGCCAGGAUGUUGGCUUAGAAGCAGCCAUCAUUUAAAGAAAGCGUAAUAGCUCACUGGUCGAGUCGGCCUGCGCGGAAGAUGUAACGGGGCUAAACCAUG